rnacentral:lncRNA from 1 species
GGAGCGGAAAGUAGUUACCAUCUUGAAGAGAAGCUGAAUGGAUUGAGGUACUGUGCAGCAUCAGGGCAUGUCUGAAAGGAACUGGAAAGUAUCUGUAAUGUUUCCCAGAGGAUCCGAUAGCUCUUCUCACACAAAAGCUUAUUUCCAAAUCAUUAUGCCACAGUAGCAUUUCAGUAAGGGGCACCUCAGGAAAGGCUUCUGACGGUUUCAGUCUGCAGAUUCAACAGUUUCAUU